UCUGCUCUGCACUUGUAUCACUUUACCUCCUGGCUGCAUUACCUGUCUACUUUCUGUCCUUUCAGCUGCACCUUUAUUCACUCACACAACGACGAGCACGGCUUACCUUUGCUCGAGCAGAAGGACUCCAUGCUGAUCAUUUUCAGUGAAGUUCAUGGAACUUAAAAGAGUUGCUGCUGCGACUUUAUCCUGACAGCUUUCCUUCACAGCUAGCUCCCUCUCUUCUUUUUUGAUCCCAGUGUGCCACGCCGGAUCUUUGACUUUCUCUCACUAUCAGUGCUCUCUUCUUCGCUCUCGCUUUCAAACACGUCACGCUGUGUAGAUCAACAGAAUGGGAGUCUCCCCCUCCUCCUUCACAGGUCUGCUGACCGGGACGCUACUCUGUUUUGGUUCUUAGUAUCCCAGUGCCACACCCAGAUUCCUGCAGUAGUUCCAGGAUGAGCCUGAUGCUUUGACCACAAACAUAUAGGAGAUAUAUCUACUCCCUCUCUCUAAUUCUUAUCCAAACAAGCUAAGGGCUAAUUAAACAUUCACCAGCUCAUAGCAUCUUACCUCAUAACUGUUAGCAGUACUUUUUUUUUUUUUUUUGCCUCAA